UCUGGACAUUUUCCCUCCCUCUUAUUCUUCUGACACUUGGAAAGUCUUGUAUGGCUUAGCUGUCCUUGACAAACUUUCUGUUGCCUAAGGCCGGGAAACCACCUCUGCUCUUAAUCUGACCCAGCUAAUUGGCCCUGAAGAAGUAAAUUAUGUAGAAAGAAGAGCUGUCUGCGACUCUUGCCACAUAUAUCACCUAAGUAUAAGAUACACAAAGAGUGACCACAGCCUUCUUAUAAAUCUAUUAUGGCCUCUUGACCUCUGAGCAAUAAUAAAUAGUAUUCUUGCAGGCUGUCCUGAAGAUAUGAAGACGUUUUGUUGAGAACAUCUGGCAUUCAUUGACUCAGG
rnacentral:lncRNA from 1 species